rnacentral:rRNA from 1 species
AUAGGUCUCAGUUCGGAUCGUAGGCUGCAACCCGCCUGCGUGAAGUUGGAAUUACUAGUAAUCGCGGAUCAGCAUGCCGCGGUGAAUACGUUCCCGGGCCUUGUACACACCGCCCGUCACACCAUGGGAGCCGGUAAUGCCCGAAGUCAGUAGCCUAACCGCAAGGAGGGCGCUGCCGAAGGUAGGAUUGGCGACUGGGGUGAAGUCGUAACAAGGUAGC